UUUUCCUGUAAAUACGGCGGUGAAGUUAGUUUUAGGUUGGAUAUAUUUUCCUGUAAAUACGGCGGUGAAGUUAGUUUCAGGUUGGAUAUAUUUUCCUGUAAAUACGGCGGUGAAGUUAGUUUCAGGUUGGAUAUAUUUUCCUGUAAAUACGGCGGUGAAGUUAGUUUCAGGUUGGAGAUAUUUUCCUGUAAAUACGGCGGUGAAGUUAGUUUUAGGUUGGAUAUAUUUUCCUGUAAAUAUGGCGGUGAAGUUAGUUUCAGGUUGGAGAUAUUUUCCUGUAAAUACAGCGGUGAAGUUAGUUUCAGGUUGGAUAUAUUUUCCUGUAAAUACGGCGGUGAAGUUAGUUUCAGGUUGGAUAUAUUUUCCUGUAAAUACGGCGGUGAAGUUAGUUUCAGGUUGGAUAUCUGACGGACAUUCUCUGAGGAUCUACCGGUGUCUUCUCACUCUCCAUAACCGGGAAUAACAACAGCAGCGCGGUUAAAUCUACUCGACACCCUCACUGUCAACGUCGGUGUUGAAUAAGGGACCGUCAAUAAAUUACUGGUUGAUGUUCUCAGAAAAGGCUGUUUUCCUUCAAUAGCUUCACUGUCAUGUGACCAAAAGACCUAAAAUUGAUUUUAAAUAAU